rnacentral:rRNA from 1 species
GACGAACGCUGGCGGCGUGCUUAACACAUGCAAGUCGAACGAGGUCCACCGCGUAGCAAUACAAGGGAAGACCUAGUGGCGAACGGGUGCGUAACACGUGAGGAACUUGUCCCGGUCUCUGGGAUAACAGUUGGAAACGACUGCUAAUACCGGAUGACGUCGGAAUCUCGCAUGGGAUACUGACGAAAGGGUUACUGGAUCGGGAGAGCCUCGCGGCCUAUCAGCUUGUUGGUGAGGUAACGGCUCACCAAGGCAUCGACGGGUAGGCUGGUCUGAGAGGAUGAUCAGCCACACUGGGACUGAGACACGGCCCAGACUCCUACGGAGGCGAGCAGUGGGGAAGUACUU